UUUGGAAGGAGGGGAGUGCUACCACUCGGGUGAGUCUCCCAGGUGCCACCAGCUGGUUUUCCAGCUUUAAAUCUCUGCUUCCAGGCCUUUAUUGGUACCUGUUAUUCCUGGACCCCUCACACACCCUGAUUCCAGCAGGGAGGUCUUUCCCCCAUUACAUCUGGAGCAGUUUCUCUGCUCAGCUUCUGCCCACACAUCACAUGCCCUUCUAACCAGUCCUGUUCAGCACCAGCACACCCCCUCAGGAGGUUUUAUUGAAGAAAACUGGCUUAUAGUGUUGGGGAGAGAAAUAAAAAGAGGCUGAGGAGAUGAGAAGAGAGAAAAGAAAGAGGAGACUUCCCAGGUCCUUCUUACUUGCUCCAAAAAAAAGUGAAGCAGCUGAAAGUUCGUGGCUGUUCUGUCGCUGGGGAAGGAGCAGAGGGAAGCACCUCUUGCAAAGCAGCACCUGCAGAAGGUACCAGCCAUGGUUUCUUACAUCAUUCCUGCCCUGUGGGUCCCUCAGUCACAGAACGUGUUCCCAGCACUUAUUUUGAAGCAGAGCUGACUUUGCAGGGCGACUCCCAUCCCCAAUUUUUGACUUCUGAAGCUCCAACUAACGAUGCUGACACACCAAAAAUGCCAUCUGCCAUUUCGGAACUGAGGCCUGCCCUGCACAGAAUUCUGAGCAUCUCAUAUGGUAAUGCCAGAGACACCCAGGCUUUAAUCUCUGCCAUCCACCUCAAUCCUCCUCACACAUCUCUCCUUGUUAGAUAUUCCUGUACCUACAUCCCUAUAUAGCUACAGAGACAUCAGAGAGAUGCUCUGGGAGUUAAAAAUUCAGGCUCUAUGAAUAUUUUUGGGAAGGAGCACAACUCCUGUUUCUUCAGAACUUCUUCUCUUUGAAAUCUGCAAGACAAGAAGUACCUGAAAUUUAUUUUAUUGCUCUAUUUUAAGGGUACAUAUAUAUUUUUUUCUUUUUAUGCAAAACCGAAAUUCUGGAUGAGUAACUGCAUUUUGAAGUAUAUUUGCUCUAAAAAAAAAAAAAAAAGAAUUGUGCAACUGGUUUAGACACCUGCAGUAUAAAGGGACUGAAAUUCUGAAAUUGUAAAGAACAUUAUAACUUCUUGUUAUAUAUAUAUAUAUAUAUAUAUCUGGGCAGGGAUCCAGGGGCAGCCACAGUUUCUCUGGGCAACCUGUGCCAGGGCCUCUCCACCCUCACAGGGAAGGAUUUCUUCCCAAUAUCCCACCUAAACCUGCCCUUUGUCAGUUUGAAGCCGUUCCCCCUUCUCUCAUCAAUCCAUGCCCUUGUUGACAGUUCCUUCCCAGCCCCCCCUGUAGCCCCUUUAGGUCCUGGAAGUUCCAAAUGACGAUAUUGUGCAACUCCUAACGACAGCACUGUGACAACAGCUUAAAGUGCUCUUCCCAAUCUUCCACCUCCACCUCUUCAGAUAUUGCUAUUUGUGGUCCAAAUUCCACUUGACACAACCCAGCACCUGAAACAUGCCCAGCUCCAGCAGCCCUGCCCUGGCUGAGCUCCCCCUGAAGUGGAGCUUUUGUUUACAGCACUUGCUCUGCUGCAUCCCCCUGUUUGUGCUGGAAAAGCCUCUCGAGUGAUUUGCAGGGAGUUCAGCCUCAGUGCCAAGGACGAAGCCACAGCUCUGCAGGAGGAAUCGAGGCUCUCAGCAAAGCAGAAUGCAGCAGCACUGGAUGACUCUUCUGCAUAAGGACCACUCGAGAGCACAAAGCUCUUCUCGCUGCCACCAGCACAAUGGGACUGGUUAUUAAGGUUUCUUUUUCAAUCGCCACUUGAAAUUUCUGCACUGAAUCUCAGUGGCUACAAGUUAAGAUUGCUCUCACCCACUCCUUAACUUCUGUCCAUCAUCUUCAUUUCCACAGAGCACGAUGUAUUUUUGUUACCAAAUCUAAAGCGGGAGAAAAUUAUUCCUGUUCCUCCGUUCUCCACUGGAUUUUCUCCAAGCUCAACUCUGUUUGCUCACAGGGAGAUGGCAGGCCCACACAAAGGAGCUGGUGACCCCAGAAUGUUCAGGAUGCACAGGAGUCAAUGUUGCAGUUGGGAUGCAGCAGCUGCACCCUGAAGCCCUCCUUGAGGAACGAUGUGAGGAAUCGAAUUAUUUAUGAACGUGAUACAAAAUUGAUUCAAUGGUACAAAUCACCGAGGAAUGAUCGAUUCAGAAUUGAUUCAGAAUUGAUUCCAUGAUAUAAAUCAUCGAGGAAUGGUUUGCAUCCUGUGGCUGCUCAAGCAUGAAGGCUCAGCCUGGGAGGAACCCAGUUUUGAGGCAUUACUUUUAGAGCUUGCUAGGCAUUUAAAGUUUCAGACCUGACACAUCAAAGUGAUUUUAAUUUUGUUAUUUUUCAUUAACAGGCUAAAAAAAAGAGUGAAUAUCAACCCCCAGCCCCCUCCCCUUCCACAGAGGGGAUUGUUUUAGUUCUGUAAAGCUGAUAUGUUUAAAGCUCUGUGUGUGCUGUCUGUUGUACUGCACUUUUACAUUCUGUGCAUCGGGAAGGUUAUACAGAUUAUAAAUAAGUUUAAUGAUAAAAAGACAUUGUAAAACAAACAAAUGUAGAGCACCUGUUUUUAAAUUGCUUUGGCUCCUCGUUCCUGACACAAAUAAUGGUCAAAACAAACGAUGCUCUCACAUAAAUCAUUUCCAUUUCAAUGAAUCAGUGCUUGCCAGCAGGACAAUAUUUACAUCUUUGCUUGUUCUAUCAGCUUCUGGAUUGCAAAUAUGUCUCAAAAGAGCAGCUAAGCAAAAAAUCUUUUGGGAAGCUACGAAAUGAAAAAGAUUUUCUUGGCCGAGAGAGAAAACCGGAGGGAUGAGCUACUUGAACUCCAACAUCUCCCAUUUAGUGUGGGAGCACGGCAGCAGUGGAAUGCUGAAUUGACAAAAAUUACUCCCCUUCAGUUCAGCCAUCCAGACUAUUUUGGUUCCAAUUAAGCAGAAGAGAAAAUGCAGAAAAUUGGACAAAAAAACCGUUGACAAAAAAAAAAAAAGUACUGAUUAGCUCAACUAAAAAGGCCAGGAUGAAAAGGCUCAACUGCACAAGGGCAGAAGAGAAAGUUGAACCUAUAUUUGGAAAUGUACCUUCUGCACCUCAGAAAUCCCCUCUGAUUCCCCAGGCAGGUGUGCUGAGUAGGAUCCCACCCCACAGCCAACGCCUCAAAAGCGGCGACCCCCAAACGUCUCCACUGGCGCUUUCUCCUAAUCCUCAAGCUCUGACAUCAUUUCCCAUGCCAUGUGCAGGAAUCCACACCAAAUUUGAUUUAAUUAAACGUUUAUAGCCCGCUAAUGUAAUGGUGCUGUUGUAACAACGCUCCUGGCAAUGAUCCAGCUCCCUCGUUGGAAUAAACGGCGCAGGCUUUCGGCUCCGUGGUUUAUUCACUCAGGGACUGUGUUACUGCCUCAUAAAACAGUGAGAUAGUACUAUUAUCACUUAAUUAUCCAGCAAGCUUUCCCAGGCUUCACUUCCCCAUCAGCCACGGUGCAUUUCUCUGAACCCCAGAAUGUGUGGGAAAUACAGAUUGGUCCGUUGGAACGUGCAGAAAUAAAUCUCGGGAAGGUGUUUUGUCAGGGCUCGGAGAUUUAUCAGUGUGUUGUACUCAAAUGUGAUAAAUUGCUGCUUUAGAACAAACCAGUGAAUAUAUUCCUAAUAGAAUUAAUUUCAACAGAUAACUCUGAGUCAUCACCUGUAAUAGCUUACAUAAAAAAAUCCCGGCAGCAGCAGCAAUGGGCUACUUAUCUGGGGAAUGAGGAUUCAGUGAGGAAAAAGAGAGUAAGAAAUGCUGAAGUUUAAACUGCAUAAUCAUGAUCACUAAUUGUUGGUAUCUGCAAUAGGUAUUUUUGGAGGUACUUUCAAUAGUAAAAAUACCAAAAUGUCACACAUGGCCACAAUUUGUUCCAGGAGAUCAAGGUUAUCAGUACUUUUUUCUGUUUGAUGACUAACAGACUUUUCUCCUGUGUUGAAACGCUUGUUAAAGUUGAGGAAAUACUGCUGAAAAAAAAAGCAAAUAAAAAUGCUAAAUGAAAACAAUAUCAACUUUUCCUAAAUCCUUAUUAUAUCAGGUAAGUUUAAGCCAUGACCUCAUGCAAAUUCAUGCAAAGCAUAGGAUUGUAUUAUAUCUUAUUUCUGUAGUAGCUGUUAUUCACUAAAUAGAAUAAUUUGUUUAUUUAUUUAAAUUCAUGCUGAUUUAAUCAAUGCCUAGAAUGAAAUUUGGGCUAGGUUUAUAUUAAAAUGGAAGGUUUUUACAAUGUAAGGAUAUGAAGCAAUCCAUACCUGUCUGCAGGCUGACAAAAUUGUUAGGACUGCCAAAUGUUUAAUUUCCCUUGAAACGGGUUUGGAAAUGAGAACAUUUGACUUAAGUGACUAAAUAAAGAUUCACACACUUAAGUUUUAAAGUCUUAAAUGAAGCGAGUCGUCCGACUCUCUCAGUUUAAUGACCUCAUUCAACCCCUCAGCUCUUUCAGGUGGCUCCUGUUUUGGUGUGUGGUGCAGGGUUAGGUGAGUCCAGGUGGCUGUGCCAGCAGGGACAGCAAAAGAAGGGACUGUGAAAUGCUUCCCAUGCAGUAAAUUCUGGCACAGGGAAGAGCUGCAGGCACUAAACGGGAGCAGGAUGUCCCACAUGCACCAAAAUCUCCCAGCACUGGCGUGUUGGAAGGGAAAACAUCCACCCCCAUCUGCACCCUGCUAGGAAACCUGGGGCAAGAGGCUCUGAAGGUGUCUGCUGAUAACUGGAUCCAGCUGCUUUUUCACCUUGGAAAAUGUAAAAAUAAACAGAAAAAAUGCUGAACCACAAACUUGGGUAAAGGAGGAAAGUUCAGCUGCUGCAUAUUCAUAGUCUGUCUCUGAAUAAGCCCUUCUUGCAUUGACACACACCCUCCCUGCAUACCAAAUUCUAGUGCUUGAUAUUCUUAAAACACCCCCAAUAUUUCAGCAUUCACAAUUAUUUGCUACCCACUCCGAAUUCAGGUGGCAUCUGAUUUCCCACACUGUAAAUUCAUCUCCAGCCCGUGUUAUUACACCCCGUGCAGCCACAGAAUCAUCAGGUAUUUCACCCCUGAGGAUUUUUAUCCUCAGUUAUUCCUCAGCCUCCAUGUUGCAGUUCUUCCAGCAUUAUGCAGCACACAGAGCCAAAUUUAUCUCCAGGUACAUGUUAUCUAAGCUUAGAUGCCCAUCAGCAUCAGUAACCUGCCAUGCUGCUAAUUCUGGUUUUAGGAAAUCGGCAGGAAACGCAGCUCAAAACGUACAAAGGGGCUUGUGUUGGUUUUUGUUUUAAACUGUUCUGGUUCUUUGAGUCUGAAAAAUGUGGAAGGUGAGUUUUUGGGCUUCAGACAACACAAUGCCAACAGCAAGGUUGGCAAAAAUUAUGAAAUAUCUCAUUAAUCUCUCUACGACAAAAGCCAUUUAAUUGGGAUGGAAACUGCCCACAGCUCACUGCCAUAUUUUACCUUUCUUCCCCUUUUACCCUCUCCAGCACUAAAUAGAGAAACACGAAUGCACGAGGUGCCAGUUUUUUUAUCUUUUAUUUAAAGAAAUCAAGAGGUACAAAAAUAACUGAGAAUGACUAAAAGUUAUUCUCUGGUGCAUUCCUGACAAUUGAGUUCUCGCUCCACAUCACUCACAGCAACAGUCUAAUUUUAAAAAGCAAAGCAUUGUUCUAUUCUUUGAGCAUUAACCUUCAGGUCUGUAUCCACCUUUAGCAAAGCAGCAUAAAUAAAUAUGGCUUUUUUUUUUUUUUUUUUUUUUUUAGC